UUUCUGUGCAGACCACUUGAGCCUCCUCUCUGUCCUCCGGAAACCAGGACUCUUCACCCUCACCACUCGCCGCUUCUCCCACCUUCUCCGCCGCCGCAAUGGCAGCGGAAAGCACGGCAGCCACCUCAUCGCUCGCAUGCGCACCCUCCCCGGCGCCGGCAGACGCACUCCUACCCGCCCCGCCAGCCGCCCAGCGUCCCGAGCAACGCGACCUUGGGACUGGGAGGGUCGUAUGGGCGGUGAUAAGCUGGACUAGAGGUUGCGCGGGGAGGCGGAGCCCGGAGCCGCCGUGCCUGGCGACAUGGGCGGCGAGUUCCGCUUGUGGAUUGCCCUCCUACUGGCUGGAUGGCAGGGACAAUGGAUGCUGAAGUGGUUCAGACAUCGACUGAACUGGUGAAUCCGACUACUUGAUGAGAAGAUAAGUACUACUCGUAGGCCUGCAUACUUUCAUCUGAACUUUCAGGUGGCCUGUCACCUGUCAGGUGGUGAAAUCAAUCAGUUAUACCCAUGAGCAAUGGUCUGCAUGAUAAUAUUUCAUAUUUGGUUUAGGCACCGAUGCAUAUAUGUACAGACAAUGGCCAGCAGUUUAAAGCAUCCCCUCUGGUACCCAGUGUUUGCUUGAAGCAUCCACAUGACUUCAGGAAAGGAAAUGAGAUGGAAAGGGGGAAAUGAUAGUAACAGCGAA